AUUGAACGCUGGCGGCAUGCUUUACACAUGCAAGUCGAACGGUAACAGGGUGCUUGCACCGCUGACGAGUGGCGAACGGGUGAGUAAUGCGUCGGAACGUGCCGAGUAGUGGGGGAUAACGCAUCGAAAGGUGUGCUAAUACCGCAUACGUACUGAGGUAGAAAGUGGGGGACCUUCGGGCCUCACGCUAUUCGAGCGGCCGACGCCUGAUUAGCUAGUUGGUGAGGUAAAGGCUCACCAAGGCGACGAUCAGUAGCGGGUCUGAGAGGAUGAUCCGCCACACUGGGACUGAGACACGGCCCAGACUCCUACGGGAGGCAGCUGUGGGGAAUUUUGGACAAUGGGCGCAAGCCUGAUCCAGCCAUGCCGCGUGUCUGAAGAAGGCCUUCGGGUUGUAAAGGACUUUUGUCCGGGAGCAAAUGCCUGGUGUUAAUAGCACUGGGAGCUGAGAGUACCGGAAGAAUAAGCACCGGCUAACUACGUGCCAGCCGCCGCAGUAACAC
rnacentral:rRNA from 1 species